rnacentral:tRNA from 1 species
GCUACGUGGAUGCCGAAGGGCACUUGUCGUGCUCCGGCAUGAUCU